AGCCAGACUCCUACGGGAGGCAGCAGUGGGGAAUAUUGCACAAUGGGGGAAACCCUGAUGCAGCGACGCCGCGUGAAGGAAGAAGUAUUUCGGUAUGUAAACUUCUAUCAGCAGGGAAGAAAAUGACGGUACCUGACUAAGAAGCCCCGGCUAACUACGUGCCAGCAGCCGCGGUAAUACGUAGGGGGCAAGCGUUAUCCGGAUUCACUGGGUGUAAAGGGAGCGUAGACGGCCAUGCAAGCCUGGAGUGAAAGCCCGGGGCCCAACCCCGGGACUGCUCUGGGAACUGUGCGGCUGGAGUGCGGGAGGGGCAGGCGGAAUUCCUGGUGUAGCGGUGAAAUGCGUAGAUAUCAGGAGGAACACCGGCGGCGAAGGCGGCCUGCUGGACCGCGACUGACGUUGAGGCUCGAAAGCGUGGGGAGCAAACAGGAUUAGAUACCCCAGUACAC
rnacentral:rRNA from 1 species